CUUGCCGUGGCGGUGGCACGCUGCCGAGAUCUCCAGCAUCGCGCGGCGGACCAGUGGAUGUUCGAACUGCUGCGGCGAGC
rnacentral:tRNA from 1 species